rnacentral:rRNA from 1 species
AUUGAACGCUGGCGGCAUGCUUUACACAUGCAGGUCGAACGGCAGCGCGGGCUUCGGCCUGGCGGCGAGUGGCGAACGGGUGAGUAAUGCAUCGGAACGUGCCCAGUAGUGGGGGAUAGCCCGGCGAAAGCCGGAUUAAUACCGCAUACGACCUGAGGGUGAAAGCGGGGGACCGAAAGGCCUCGCGCUAUUGGAGCGGCCGAUGUCGGAUUAGCUAGUUGGUGGGGUAAAGGCUUACCAAGGCGACGAUCCGUAGCUGGUCUGAGAGGACGACCAGCCACACUGGGACUGAGACACGGCCCAGACUCCUACGGGAGGCAGCAGUGGGGAAUUUUGGACAAAGGGGGCAACCCUGAUCCAGCCAUGCCGCGUGCGGGAAGAAGGCCUUCGGGUUGUAAACCGCUUUUGUUCGGGAAGAAAUCCUCUGGGCUAAUACCCCGGGGGGAUGACGGUACCGGAAGAAUAAGCACCGGCUAACUACGUG